CCCUUAGAUGUUCUGGGCCGCACGCGUGCUACACUGAGUAAUUCAAUGGGUAAGGGAACGCUAGAGCAUUACCUAAUCUUGAAAUUUGCUCGUGAUGGGGAUCGACGGUUGCAAUUUUCCGUCGUGAACGAGGAAUACCUUGUAGGCGCAUGUCAUCAUCAUGCGCCGAAUACGUCCCUGCCCUUUGUACACACCGCCCGUCGCUCCUACCGAUUGAGUGAUCCGGUGAGUAAUUCGGACUGGAGCAGUGUUCAGUUCCUGAACGUUGCAUCGGAAAGUUUAGCAAACCUUAUCACUUAGAGGAAGGAGAAGUCGUAACA
rnacentral:rRNA from 1 species